CUGUUACAGUUUCUUUCCAAAGUGGAAGCUGGACUAGGAAUUAAUUGAAAAAAAUCUUCAAACCUUUAAGGUAUACAACCGGACUGUGUUAUGUUUGUAAUUUUUUUGGUGUUUUGAAUCUAUACCUAACCUGUGGCCAUGAAAACUCUUUGUAACUUUUUGUAAGUAACUGUACGUUUGAACACUGAUCUAAUAAAACGCAUUAUGAUUCAUAAUA